GCCAUGUUUCUUCAAGCUCCAGAGUCUCAGACAGUUUCAGCUUCAGCACCUGUCCUCAGUCCAGUAGCAGUGUGUGCCACUGUGUCCACUCAGAGGGCUUGCUCCCUGAAGACCACAAAUGGAUUUUAAAGACAGUAAUGAAGGUGGGGCCCAAGGGAAAACUGCACCUUCAAGACCACCUGAAGCUCUGGUUCUUUCCCCCACAACCAAGCCCUAUCUACCACCCGGCUCCUGCUCCCGACCGCUUUUUUGCACAUCCACUUCUUGUCUGGAUGCCCUACAAGUUGUGGAAAGUGAAGGUCGUCUGUCCCAACCCUGUCUGUGGACAGCAUCAGCUCACAGGAGGCGGGCUGCACAAGAGGGCAUGACAGGUCCUGGAUGUGGACAGGAUCUAUAAUAUGGUGACAGAGAUUCUAACCUGCACCAAAUGUAGAUCCACCCAUGUGUCGUGGAACCAGACUGUCCUGAAACAACUGGACUUGGCUCACAGAUCUGAAUUUCGGGUCAUCCUGACACAAAAGUUUGCGUGUGACAUCCGGGUGAUCCAUCUUCUGCGGGAAAGAGGCCUCGGUAACAGCCCAACGCGCGUUUUAAAGCAGCUGUUGCCCAUGGCAUUUCCUGAGACUCCAGAGCCAGCUGUGGUGCCCAGCUGUAAAUGGCUCCUCUCUGUGGGAAAUGAGCAUGGUCAGAUUCUCAUCAGUGUGCUGACUGCUCAGGAGGGAGCUGGCCUCUACAUG